UACGUAGGGGUCAAGCGUUGUCCGGAUUUAUUGGGCGUAAAGAGCGUGUAGGCGGCCUGAAAGGUCAGCUGUGAAAACUCGAGGCUCAACCUCGAGACGUCGGUUGAAACCAUCUGGCUAGAGUCCGGAAGAGGAGUGUGGAAUUCCCGGUGUAGCGGUGAAAUGCGCAGAUAUCGGGAAGAACACCCGUGGCGAAGGCGGCACUCUGGGACGGUACUGACGCUGAGACGCGAAAGCGUGGGGAGCGAACAGG
rnacentral:rRNA from 1 species